GACGAACGCUGGCGGCGUGCUUAACACAUGCAAGUCGAACGGAAAGGCCCUGCUUGCAGGGUACUCGAGUGGCGAACGGGUGAGUAACACGUGGGUGAUCUGCCCUGCACUUCGGGAUAAGCCUGGGAAACUGGGUCUAAUACCGGAUAGGAGCCAUUUUUAGUGUGAUGGUUGGAAAGUUUUUUCGGUGUAGGAUGAGCUCGCGGCCUAUCAGCUUGUUGGUGGGGUAAUGGCCUACCAAGGCGGCGACCGGUAGCCGGCCUGAGAGGGUGGACGGCCACAUUGGGACUGAGAUACGGCCCAGACUCCUACGGGAGGCAGCAGUGGGGAAUAUUGCACAAUGGGCGCAAGCCUGAUGCAGCGACGCCGCGUGGGGGAUGACGGCCUUCGGGUUGUAAACUCCUUUCGCUAGGGACGAAGCUUUUUGUGACGGUACCUAGAUAAGAAGCACCGGCUAACUACGUG
rnacentral:rRNA from 1 species